UAGAGGUCAUGUAGGUGUAGUGAUUCGUUCUUCUUCAUCGCUUAUGUGGAUAAGCAUCAAGAACUGGCGAUGUGCGCUCCCGCUUGAUUCGCACAACCUGCCAUAAGUGCACUCCCCGACGAUCCCUCUGCGCUCGUUGCGAUGAUGGAGUGCUCUCGUAGGCUCGGGAUGUUGGUUAAAGCCCAGUGCAUCCUGGACCAGAUGAUAUGACUUCGAUCUUUGCCGUCAAAUGGGACAUAUAGCUCGAUGCUGCGUGUUCUCGGAGGGUCUGGAUCUCUUCUUUCUAUUGGCUUUAGCAGGUAUUUUUAACUCUUUACCGGGUUGUAAUCUAUUGAUGGUUUGUUUGAUCUCGAAUGGGCACUAGGAUCAGGCAUAUGACCUGUUUGUUAUAAUGGUUAGCACAGCACUUCAUGCGUGUAUUGGUAUUGUCCAAGGGAGGACCCAUUAUUGAGGUCGAACGCGUUUGCAGAGUCGUUUUUGCAGGAUCGGGAUAUUGGUUGAGGCCCAACACGUUCUGGACCAGAUGAUAAAACUUCGAUCUGGCCAUUAAAUGGAACAUGCAGCUCUAUGCUGCGUGUACACUUUUCCGAAGUGAUGUUAUCGGAGGCUCUGGAUCUCUUCUUCUUUCUAAUGGAUGGGGUUGGUAAUUUACCAUAUUUAUCAUGCUGUAAUCUACUGAUAGUUGGUUUAAUGUUGAAGGGACACUUGGAUCAGGCAUAUUACCUGUUUGAUAUAAUGGUAAGCACAAGAUUGGCUCCACUCCACGUAGGUUAAUAUUAGUAUUUGGAAAGGAGGUCGGAUCAUCGAGGCCAAACAUGUUGCAGAGUUACGGAGCCUUAUGGUCUUCUAUUGGAUCAUGUGAUUCUGCCUAAUUUUGGGUAUUCUAGGGAAGGAAAGUUGGAGUUGGCUCUGAAUGAUCAAACAAUGAAAGGAAAUACCUCUUCUGAGCUUGAUGCCUUUGCCUACGGUAUCCUGACAUAUGACUUUGCUGAAAUUGGCUAUGUUGAUUCAGCAGGAGAUUCAUGGAAUUGAACGAUUGGGACCAAUUUGGAGACCACUGUGGUGGCUUUUUUACAGUAGAAUGAUCAGUUGGUACUAUUGUGCUUUAGAGCUUCCUGAUAUGAUGCUUAAGGAUGGUUUAGCCUCUAAUGGGCAAGAACUACAUCUUCGUUUUCCUUUCUUCAGUAAUCUUCUCAUCCUUUUCCUAUAGUUUGUUUACACAUUAUUUGACCGCAUACAGAAUUCAUGCCCGUCAACUUACACAUGUGAAGUUAUAUAGGUGCUAAAUUGGAUGAUCCUGUUCAUACGGAAUAUGGCCUUUUUUUAAAAAAAUAAACCGCCCAGGAUUUAACUCGUGAAAAGUUCUUCUGUUAGGGAUCACUAGUAUUUGUUAUCCCGAACAUGUUCCCAGAAUUAAUCGUUGCAUUGCCAGAUUAUGUAUCAUUAUAGUUGCUUUAGUUUUUGAUGAAUUAAGUUGCAAAAUGAUCGUUCUGUCAAAUUACCUCUUUUUCUUCUAAAAUUAUCUUAUAAGAAAACCAGGGUCAUAGAGUUACAAAACUUACUCAAGAAUUAUGAUAUAGAAGCAGCUGGAAAAUUAGUUUAUUUAGUUUAUUACUUUCAUUUCUUGGAAGAUACACAAGAGUUAGUUUUUCAGUGAUUAGUAAUUUGCAUUUAAUUUUUAUCCUUUUUUAAAGUGUUCUUACAAUUUGAGAUAACUGAGCCUCUAUGCUGAAAUUUCAUAUCUGAAUGGUAUAGAAGUGGUAAUUGAACACAAUGACCAUAUGCAAGUGUGGACUUUAAAGAAGUAUGUAGUUCACGCAAAUGACAGUUAUACUGGAACUUAAUGCAACAUUUGAGGUUAACCAUGCACUUGGACAAUUUCUAGAUCAUGUGCUGCAUGUUAUCACCAACCAAGAAGACUUUACUUCUGGGGUUUAAUAGGUUAUUAUUUGGUCGAUAAAUAAGGAAAGUGGAUUAUCCUAUCAAUGUUAAUCAUCAUCUACGUUAUGGAGUGGGUUUCAUGUGGAGUUCAACGGAAGAUGAAUGGUGAUCUGACAUGGAAAGCGAGUUUAAAAGGAGAAACUUAUCAAAGCACACUGAAGCCGACUUCCGUGGUCGCAUUCAGAAAACUUCAUUUUUGUCUGCCCUGUUCGUCUCCUGGAUGUGGUGGACAAUAUCGGAAUCUCGACUCAAGUGGGGACGCGAAGCGGCCGUUCUUAUGCGGGUUGCAGCGGCACAAAAGUCUAUGGUGGUGUAUCGUCUCAUUCUCUGUCCCCGUACGGCAAUGCACGGCAUUGGAAGAGCAAAGCACCGAGUGGAGAUUGUUUCGAGGAGUAUGUCCAUGAGAUCAGAUGACAAGAAGUUCGAGUCAUGAAGCGGAUAGAUGGAGUACGUUCACCGUUGGGUCACAAUAAGUACGGUGAAUUCGAAGGAUUUGAGGCCAAAAAAGAUUUUUUUGGGCGAGUUUGCGAUCUGACUCUUAUGCGGUGAUGUCACUGGCGAGUAUCCGCACUUCAAUAGUACCUUCGGGGUCCGUUGAUGCUACGUCAUCAGAUAGGGGGUAAUUUGGUCUUCUUAUUAGUUGGCAAGCUUUAGUAGCGGAUAGAGUUCGUUCACCGGCAGGUGGGGAUAAGUACGGCCAUUUCGAAGGAUUUGACGGCAAAAAAUUUUUUUUGGGGCCAAUUUGUGAUCCGACUCGGUUUGCGGUAUUGUCACCGUCAGUAUAUGUACACUAAUUCUUUUUUAUAUCUUAAAUAAGCAUAAGUCGACACGGAGCCGUUCCCACUGAGUUUUUAGUCAACUAAGUCUGCUCACCGAAGUAAGCGUCAGUAUGCGGAAAUUUCAAGAAUCUAAGAUCCGAAAAAUCUUUUGAGGCAGUUUCUUCCGACUUGUACGCGAUUAUCUUUUACCGAUGAGUGCAUUAAUUUAAUCUUACAAUGGUCUUAAGAAUAAGCCAGCAUUAAAUGUCUUGGAGGGUAGUAUAGUGAUUUUAAUAGGUUUUCAAUUGAUUACAAGAAGAGAAAACGUGUUUCGAGUCGCUUGUCAUCGGACUAGAGAAUGUGGUAAUCACACCUACUAGAAUUUCUUUGAUUUACGCGUGAUUUGAUAAUUUAAUGAUAAAAUUAUGACAAGACAUGACCUACAUAUAAAAUAUAUAAAUAAAUAUAAAAUGAUUUUAAAAAUAAAUAAAUAAAAUUGCACACUAUAGAAGACAUAAAUUAUAUUGCUUUUUCAUUAAAUUAACAUUGUGACACGAUGAAACAAGUAACACAACAAAAUAAGCGAUGCAAUAAAUUUAUAAAAGGAGUUGAUAGAAACCGAGACGAGAAAAUGAGAACCAGAGUUUCUAUUAUAUAUGUUAUGAUUUUAGAUAAUAUCAUAAGAAAAAUGUUGAAAUGUUAAUGCUACCUUAGGAUAGCAUC